GGAACAUUUCUCCCGGCUGGAACACUUGUGUUCUCCGGAGUCCUAGCUGCGACACGACCACGGGCACCGGCAGACAGUUCUGAAGCUUCACGGCCGGCUUUAGGACGAUGUCGUAGCACGAAGACGCGAACGUAUGACGUUCGCGCCACACGAACGGAGACACAGAUACGGUAAAACCUGGAUCACGACAACAUUAUAUAAUAACAAAUCUAUUUUACAUGUACAAUAUGAGACUGAAUGAAAAUAAGGCCUACAACACACCUUCGACUGAGAAAAAUAUCUCCGCGGUGGGUGUGUGAACAGCCUGUAGCGGAAGACGAAGAGUGUCACCAGGAGCCACCUCGCCCAACAGACGGACCUCGUUGCCGCUUAGUGUCAUGUAGUACACAGACACAUUCACUGACAGAGUAUUAGUGACCUGACGUAAAGAUAACCGCACACCUGUACUAUACUCCGAAGGUAAAUAUGAAGCGCGGCGUCAUGCAUUACGACGUCCGAGAUGAGCCCGCGAGGUUCCACGGCAGCGGCGUGCGGCACGUUCUUGGCAUUCAUGUCCCCAGUGCGUUUCUUCCCUAUAGAGAAAUAUCUUUUGUCCGCACGUUCAACUGGUAUUUGGAUUUCUUCUUCCAUUUCUACUAUCUGAAAAUUUUUCAAAAUAAACAAGUUUGUCAUGGAACAUCAAUUACGUAUGAUUACGUAUAAAUAAUUAUUCAAGCAAAUUUGGUAAUGAGUUUGUGGUAUAUAAUAAAUACCUUAACGUUUAGCUUCAACGGCGGCGGAGGUUCGUUUAGUUUCAUAACAUUAAUACCGCCAUGUUUUAAUUGCAACGGCAAGCAGGCUCCAGGUUCCAGAAC